rnacentral:rRNA from 1 species
GUCUAUUUGAAGGUAAAAAUAGUCUGGCCUGCCCACUGAUUAAUUGAUUUAAGGGCCGCAGUAUUAUGACUGUGCAAAGGUAGCAUAAUCAUUAGGUUUUUAAAUGGAAUCUUGUAUGAACGGUCGGACAAAGGAGAAACUGUCUCAAGUUUAAUUUUGAAUUUUACUUUUAAGUGAGAAGGCUUAGAUUUUUUAGAGGGACGAUAAGACCCUAUAAAGCUUUACAUACAAGUUAUAUUUAGCUUAAUUUAGGAUAUAAAAAGUUUUAUAUGGCUAUAUGUUUUGUUGGGGCAACAGAGGCAGAAUUAAUUAUAGCUGCUUAAAGGAGCGAACAAUUAUAUGUGAAAGCUAAUUGAUCCUAGUUAUAGAUUAGAAGUUUAAGUUACUUUAGGGAUAACAGUAUAAUUCUUUUUGAGAGUUCAUAUCGAAAAAAGAGUUUAUAACCUCGAUGUUGAAUUAAAAUAUCUUUAUAAUGCAGCUGUUAUAUGAGAAGGUCUGUUCGACCUUUAAU